rnacentral:rRNA from 1 species
CCCCCCAAGGCUAAAUACUCCUUAGUGACCGAUAGCGCAUAGUACUGUGAAGGAAAGGUGAAAAGGACCCCGGGAGGGGAGUGAAAGAGAACCUGAAACCCUGUGUUUACAAGCUGUGGGAGCACCUUAUGAGUGCGACCGCGUACUUUUUGUAGAACGGUCCGGCGAGUUACGCUGGCUGGCGAGGUUAAACGGUAGAGCCGUGGAGCCGAAGGGAAACCAAGUCUUAAGAGGGCGGAUGAGUCAGUCAGAGUAGACCCGAAACCGGGUGAUCUAUCCAUGUCCAGGUUGAAGUUGCCGUAAAAGGCAAUGGAGGACCGAACCCACAUCCGUUGAAAAGGGUGGGGAUGAGGUGUGGAUAGGGGAGAAAUUCCAAUCGAACCCGGAGAUAGCUGGUUCUCCUCGAAAUAGCUUUAGGGCUAGCCUCGAUAGAGUCUUGCGGAGGUAGAGCACUGAAUUUCCUAGGGGGCGUCAAAGCUUACCGAAGAAUAUCAAACUCCGAAUGCCGUGUAGAUGCUUAUCGGGAGUCAGACUAUACGAGAUAAGUUGGAUAGUCAAAAGGGAAAGAGCCCAGACCUCCAGCUAAGGUCCCAAAGUACGUGUUAAGUGGAAAAGGAUGUGGGAUUUCGAAGACAACCAGGAUGUUGGCUCAGAAGCAGCCAUACAUUCAAAGAGUGCGUAAUAGCUCACUGGUCGAGAGGUCCUGCGCCGAAAAUGUCCGGGGCUGAAACACGACACCGAAGCUGAGGAAUGUCUGAAGACAUUGGUAGAGGAGCAUUGGAUACGCAACGAAGCAGUACCGGAAGGAGCUGUGGAGUGUAUCGAAGAGAGAAUGCCGGAAUGAGUAGCGAGAGAGAGGUGGGAAUCCUCUCGGCCGAAUAUCUAAGGUUUCCAGGGUAAAGCUGAUCUGCCUGGGUAAGUCGGGGCCUAAGGCGAGGACGAGAGUCGUAGCCGAUGGACAACAGGUUGAGAUUCCUGUACUGCAGUAAGACAGAACUGUGGGGACACGUGUGGAGAGCAUAGGCGCGGAAUGGAAAGCCGCGUGCAAGCGAGGUAGGAGUCCUGUAGGAAAAACCGCAGGGCAAUCCGAAGGCGUGAUGCGGACCGAAAUCUAGUAGGGAAGUAUGUGAGCCAUGCGUCAAGAAAAGCCGCUAUUGUUCUUAUUGUACCCGUACCGUAAACCGACACAGGUGGAUGAGGAGAGAAUCCUAAGGCCGACGGAAGAAGCAUUGUUAAGGAACUCGGCAAAAUGACCCCGUAACUUCGGGAGAAGGGGUGCCACAGAAAUGUGGCCGCAGAGAAUAGGCUCAAGCAACUGUUUAGCAAAAACACAGGUCUAUGCAAAACCGAAAGGUGAGGUAUAUGCUGACGCCUGCCCGGUGCUGGAAGGUUAAGAGGAGAGGUUAGCGCAAGCGAAGCUUUGAAUUGAAGCCCCAGUAAACGGCGGCCGUAACUAUAACGGUCCUAAGGUAGCGAAAUUCCUUGUCGGGUAAGUUCCGACCCGCACGAAAGGCGUAAUGAUUUGAGCGCUGUCUCGACAAUGCAUCCGGUGAAAUUGAAGUACCAGUGAAGAUGCUGGUUACCUGCGCCAGGACGGAAAGACCCCAUGGAGCUUUACUCCAGCUUGAUACUGGGAUUCGGUAUUGCAUGUACAGGAUAGGUGGGAGGCUGAGAAUCGGUAACGCCAGUUGCCGAGGAGCCAUUGUUGGGAUACCACCCUUGCAGUACUGGGUUUCUAACCAGCAGCCGUGACCCGGCUGGGGGACAAUGUCAGGUGGGGA